AGCGAACGCUGGCGGCAGGCUUAACACAUGCAAGUCGAACGGGCAUCUUCGGAUGUCAGUGGCAGACGGGUGAGUAACACGUGGUAACGUACCCUUCGGUUCGGAAUAACUCAGGGAAACUUGAGCUAAUACCGGAUACGCCCUUUUGGGGAAAGGUUUACUGCCGCAGGAUCGGCCCGCGUCUGAUUAGCUUGUUGGUGGGGUAACGUCCUACCAAGGCGGCGAUCAGUAGCUGGUCUGAGAGGAUGAUCAGCCACACCGGGACUGAGACACGGCCCAGAAUCUUACGGGAGGCAGCAGUGGGGAAUAUUGGACAAUGGGCGCAAGCCUGAUCCAGCCAGGCCGGGUGAGUGAUGAAGGCCUUAGAGUUGUAAAGCUCUUUUGUCCGGGACGAUAAUGACGGUACCGGAAGAAUAAGCCCCGGCUAACUUCGUG
rnacentral:rRNA from 1 species